UGGAGUGUCGUCUAACGGUAGGACAGCGGUUUCUGGUGCCGUAUGUGAGGGUUCGAUUCCUUCCACUCCAGCCA
rnacentral:tRNA from 1 species